rnacentral:rRNA from 1 species
GACGAACGCUGGCGGCGUGCUUAACACAUGCAAGUCGUACGGUAAGGCCCUUUCUGGGGUACACGAGUGGCGAACGGGUGGGUAACACAUGAGUAACCUGCCCACAACUUUGGGAUAACGCUAGGAAACUGGUGCUAAUACUGGAUAUGUGCUCCUGCUGCAUGGUGGGGGUUGGAAAGCUCCGGCGGUUGUGGAUGGACUCGCGGCCUAUCAGCUUGUUGGUGGGGUAGUGGCCUACCAAGGCGGCGACGGGUAGCCGGCCUGAGAGGGUGACCGGCCACAUUUGGACUGAGAGACGGCCCAGACUCCUACGGGAGGCAGCAGGGGGGAAUAUUGCACAAUGGGCGCAAGCCUGAUGCAGCAACGCCGCGGGCGGGAUGACGGCCUUCGGGUUGUAAACCGCUUUCAGCAGGGACGAAGCUUUUUGUGACGGUACCUGCAGAAGAAGCACCGGCUAACUACGUG